ACGUAGGUGGCAAGCGUUGUCCGGAAUUACUGGGCGUAAAGCGUGCGCAGGCGGGUUGCUUAGCCAGGUGGGAAAUCCCCGGGCUUAACCUGGGAACUGCGCUUGUAACUGGCAAGCUAGAGUGUGGCAGAGGGGGGUGGAAUUCCACGUGUAGCAGUGAAAUGCGUAGAGAUGUGGAGGAACACCGAUGGCGAAGGCAGCCCCCUGGGCUGAGAUUGACGCUCAGGCACGAAAGCGUGGGGAGCAAACAGG
rnacentral:rRNA from 1 species